rnacentral:lncRNA from 1 species
UCUGACGUGAUGCUUGCUAAGUUGGAUGUGGAUUCAUUUAGUAAACCUUGUGUGUGCAUUUGUUUUUUUAUGUUUAGCAACUGCUUACAUGGAUCACCUGUUUUUGUUUUGCUAUGACUUCAAAGUAGGGCGCUGAACACUGACUAAGAGGAGAGAGCGCACAUUACAUGGAGACCAUGGUCCCCAUACCAGAAACAUGAGAGUAGAGAGAAGCAAAGCCAGCAUCGUGGAGCCAGUCCCUUUAUCCAGGAUCUUGGAGGGAUACAGUCUUCUGUAGAAAUUAAAUAAAGACUGAAUUCUUCAAUGGGUAUUUUGAGAAGAGAGCCACUGUAAGCUUAUACACUGUGAAUUGCAAAAUGUUACUGCCUCUGGGUGGACAGGUUUUAAAAAGACUUUUUUUUUUCCUCCUGGCAUGGCUGACAGAGGGAAGGCUGGGUUUCAAUCCCAUCUUUCCCUUCCCUUGCCCAGUGCUUCUUUAUGUGCACAACCUGCACAACUAUAUGUGGUUUGCAAACACGCAUAAGCAAAGACUAACAGCUUCUGAAACAAACUCUGAAUAAAAGAGGGAGCAUAUUAAGGCAGAUGGCAGAGGAGGUGAGCAGCAUGGGCAGAUAGAAGCAUCACAGAGACUACAAGAAGAAUGUGCCAGACCGGCUCAUAGUGGCCACACUGAUUAAGAAUUACCAUCAGCUCUUUAGGAUUUGGAAACUUGGAAACACAUUGUGUGUUCUUCCUGGUUUGUUAUAGAGUAUGUGUAUGUACUUCUUUCUCUUAAAAAUAUUUAUUUUUAAAGAAUUGACUUAUAAAAUUAUAUGUAUUUGUCAUGUAUAACACAAUAUUUUGAAGUACAGUCCUGUGUCAUAAGGAUAUGUUCUGAGAAAUCCAUCAAUUUUGUCAUUGUAUAAACAUGAUAGAGUGUAUUUACACAAACCUAGGUGGUAUAAACUACUACACACCUAGGCUACAUAAUGUAGCCUAUUGCUCCUAGGCUAUAAACCUGUAUAACAUGCUACUGUACUAAAUACUAUAGACAAUAGUCACAUACUGGUGAGUAUUUGCGUAUCAAAACAUAUCUAAAUAUAGAAAAGAUGCAGUAAAAAUAUGGUAUUACAAUCUUAUGAGAC